rnacentral:snoRNA from 1 species
UAGACUUUUUCUUCAGGGAUUGUUCUAUAGUACAUUCCUAGAGAAGUUUCUUUGGUUAUGUAGACUCUCUGAAACCAUGAGGAGGAGGGAGAACACUCUCUCCUGAGCAUGAAUCUGGUUCUAGGUGUUGCUUUCCAAGCUGCCUUUUGCAUUGAUGAUAGUUCUUCUCUUUCCUUGGAAGAGUGAGAGGGAGCAAAUGCCAUCUGAAGGG